rnacentral:rRNA from 1 species
UACAACAUAGUGUUAAUGCAUUAGAUUCCAUUAAAAAUCCAAAGUUAAGCACACUCGGCCUAGAGUAGGACUGGGAUGGGUGACUUCCCAAGAAUUCCUAGUGUUUUAC